GCAAUUACUGAAGAAUCUUGCAGGCUGAAGGUUAUCUGCCUGCUGGGAGAUACCCCCGGAGCUUUUCUUUCCAGUGGCUUAUUCACCGUAACAAAUGUAAUAGCGGCCUUAAGGACCACAUCCAGCUGACCUAAAUUUGGUACAGCCUAUUCAGUCAUUGCUUCCCCGAGCUUGGGUGGUGCACCCGUUUCUUACGGCGAAGGGAGCUCGUACCUGGGUUCAGAGGGAGCCCAACACUGCAGACCUUGGACAGCUGUAAGCACACAGUGCCUCUGAAACCUCUCCUUUCUACCUUGCAAACAUUAAAGGGGUGUUGUCAGCUGCCUGCAUUGCGUUCGUCACUGUCAUGGCUGGCAGUGUAACAGAUAAGUGGAUGGAUUCAAGGCCACCCAGGGAAUGGAGCCUGACAGGACCUCAUUCAUCACUUCCAUUUCGGAGGUCUCUGUGGAAGAGCUGGCAUCAAAGAACCUCACAGAUGAUGCCUUGCCAGGACUGGCACUCUCAGGGACAAGUCAUCCCCCAUUCCUGGGGAGUGGAAAGAUUCUUCAGUGCAGGGAAGAGUGUGCUCCUGACCAGACUUCCAAGAGUAUCUGACCCGUUUCCCAGAGAAUCACUGUUUCCUGAAAUGUGCUCUCUAAUGCUGAGAUCAGCUAUGCGUGGAUGAGAUUUAAACCAAGAGAAAAGGUAGGUUUUCUUUCAAAGGGAAUUUGUUUGUCUUCUCGCACUGGCCCAGCAGCAUGUGGUCCCUGUUUCCAAGGUGAAGGAGGUCAGCAGGACUGCUGACUCUUGUGGUAAUAAAUGAGAGAUGGAGAAGAUGGGCUGCCUGCUUCUGCCCACUCACCUCUAUCCUUUAGACAACGACGAUAGACCAGAUAGACUCCAGGACAUGCAAGGGCUGCCAAGUAGUUAACCUGCUGGAAAAAAAAAAAAGAAAAAAGAGUGAAGCUGCAAUGAAUGAACUGUCUUUCGGUGAAAACAUCUUAAUGCUUCCUUAAUUACACCCCUGUAGGGCAUGCACAUCUUAAUAGCUAGCAGUGUCCACAUGGAGAUGGCAAUUCAAACUUAACUCUUGCAAAGUUGCAGAGAGAACAGAUAAAUAACUCUUUCACUGUGUUUUUGAGAAGUCUUAAGAGGAAAGAAAUUGAAGUGGAUUGGAGAAUUGGGGCCUAAAGUGUCUGAUAUUGCUGUAUUACAUUUCCUUUCUGCUUCCACUGAAAUAGCGAUGUGCAGCAUAAACCAUCUUCUUACCAAGCAUAUUCUCACAGCUUGACUAUUUGCAUGGGAUAGUUUUACAAGUUAUUUCAGCCAAGCUGUACUAGAAAAUUGCCUUCUUUGAAUGAUUCUUCUCCAGUGCAAGCACAUCUGCAUGAGGAGGCAAAUACAACUAGCUUUAUUUAAAUCCCUGCUUCCAGCUCCUCUAAUACUUGUCCCCCUUUGGGCAAGACUGAACGUAGGUCAGUUUUUCAGCUGCAAUGGAGGUUGUAAGGAGAGAGUGAUCACUGAAUAAAUCUAGACUGUUUUUUCCU
rnacentral:lncRNA from 7 species